GGCCAAUGUGACACCAAAAAUGUUAUUGAACUUCCAGGCAGAUCAUUUUAAAUAAAUAGAAACCAUUGGUAGUUUUCUGCACAUGUUACACUGAGGGUAAAUGGGUCUCGUGGACUUAUUUUGUUGUUGAACUGCAACUCUCAUCAUCCUUUGUGGUACAUAGCUUGAUUCUCUGCCUCCGAAUUGCAAUUACCAUUAUCCCUUUCAACUACCAUAAAUGGGAAUUGUAG